UUCCCCAUCACCAAUCUAAACCUCCUCUGGUGCAACUUGAAGCCGUUUCCUCUCAUCCUGUUGCAUUUUACUUGGGAGCAGAGACUGACCCUCCACCUCACUACAACCUCCUGUCAGGCACAGGGAUGGCCAGACUUUUAUCUCAGACUGCUGCAAAGCACUAGAAGAUCAUGCAGAUGCAUUGUUACUGAUGCUCUUCCCUCUGUCUUAAAAGCUUUUUCCACUGCCAAAGUCUUACAAGCUCUUCCAGUGUUUCCCCUUCUACACAAAACACACCUGUCCUACAGUACUGUGUGGCUGCUGGAAGCACUAAAACUGUCUGCAGCUUUACACAGGACAUGGUCCAAGCUGUAUGUCCAGCAGCCAUCAAAAGGGCACUGUCUUCUGCCUUUGGCUGUUACUCUCCAGGAAAAGUACAACUGCUGGUCCAUUUCCACAUGAGAACCUUUAUCUUCCACCACUUCUAAACUCUGUGGAAAAUUAAGUAUCUGGAGUCAUUGGUACUAAGAAAAAGGAAACUUGACUUCUAUGUGCAAGUACAAACUUAAAGAAACUGUUACUUGUGUAUUACUUGCUGUAUUUAAAAAGUCUGGGAAUAAAAAGAAC